CCAGACUCCUACGGGAGGCAGCAGUGAGGAAUAUUGGUCAAUGGGCGCGAGCCUGAACCAGCCAAGUCGCGUGAGGGAAGACGGCCCUACGGGUUGUAAACCUCUUUUGCCGGGGAGCAACGGGCGCCACGUGUGGCGCCACUGAGAGUACCCGGAGAAAAAGCAUCGGCUAACUCCGUGCCAGCAGCCGCGGUAAUACGGAGGAUGCGAGCGUUAUCCGGAUUUAUUGGGUUUAAAGGGUGCGUAGGCGGAGGGUUAGUUCGGUGGUAAAUUGGGGGGCCCCACCCCCUCCCCGCCAUUGAAACUGGCGCUCUUGAGUGGAAGAGAAGUAUGCGGAAUGCGUGGUGUAGCGGUGAAAUGCAUAGAUAUCGCGCAGAACUCCGAUUGCGAAGGCAGCAUGCCGGCUCCACACUGACGCUGAGGCACGAAAGCGUGGGUAUCGAACAGGAUUAGAUACCCUCAGUA
rnacentral:rRNA from 1 species